GGCUUAGAGUUUGAUCAUGGCUCAGGAUGAACGCUGGCGGCGUGCCUAACACAUGCAAGUCGAGCGAAGCACUUUGCUCUGAUUUCUUCGGAUUGAAGAGUGAUUUGACUGAGCGGCGGACGGGUGAGUAACGCGUGGGUAACCUGCCUCACACAGGGGGAUAACAGUUAGAAAUGACUGCUAAUACCGCAUAAGGCCACAGCACCGCAUGGUGCAGGGGUAAAAACUCCGGUGGUGUGAGAUGGGCCCGCGUCUGAUUAGUUAGUUGGCGGGGUAACGGCCCACCAAGGCGACGAUCAGUAGCCGACCUGAGAGGGUGACCGGCCACAUUGGGACUGAGACACGGCCCAAACUCCUACGGGAGGCAGCAGUGGGGAAUAUUGCACAAUGGGGGAAACCCUGAUGCAGCGACGCCGCGUGAGCGAAGAAGUAUUUCGGUAUGUAAAGCUCUAUCAGCAGGGAAGAAAUUGACGGUACCUGACUAAGAAGCACCGGCUAAAUACGUGCCAGCAGCCGCGGUAAUACGUAUGGUGCAAGCGUUAUCCGGAUUUACUGGGUGUAAAGGGAGCGUAGACGGAGCAGCAAGUCUGGAGUGAAAACCCGGGGCUCAACCCCGGGACUGCUUUGGAACUGUUGUUCUAGAGUGCUGGAGAGGUAAGUGGAAUUCCUAGUGUAGCGGUGAAAUGCGUAGAUAUUAGGAGGAACACCAGUGGCGAAAGCGGCUUACUGGACAGUAACUGACGUUGAGGCUCGAAAGCGUGGGGAGCAAACAGGAUUAGAUACCCUGGUAGUCCACGCCGUAAACGAUGACUGCUAGGUGUUGGGUGGCAAAGCCAUUCGUGCGCAGCUAACGCAAUAAGCAGUC
rnacentral:rRNA from 1 species